GGUUGUGGCUCAGAGGUAGGGUGCUCGCCUACCAUGUGUGAAGCACCGGGUUCAAUCCUCAGCACCA
rnacentral:tRNA from 1 species